CCUACGGGUGGCAGCAGUGAGGAAUAUUGGUCAAUGGACGAGAGUCUGAACCAGCCAAGUAGCGUGAAGGAUGACUGCCCUAUGUGUUGUAAACUUCUUUUAUAUGGGAAUACAAUGUUAUACGUGUGUGAUUCUGUAUGUACCAUAUGAAUAAGGAUCGGCUAACUCCGUGCCAGCAGCCGCGGUAAUACGGAGGAUCCGAGCGUUAUCCGGAUUUAUUGGGUUUAAAGGGUGCGUAGGUGGAUUGUUAAGUCAGUUGUGAAAGCUUGGGGCUCAACCGUGAAAUUGCAGUUGAAACUGGUCGGCUUGAGUGCAGUAGAGGUAGGCGGAAUGCGUGGUGUAGCGGUGAAAUGCUUAGAUAUCAUGAAGAACACCGAUUGCGAAGGCAGCUUACUGGACUGCAACUGACGCUGAGGCUCGAAAGUGUGGGUAGCAAACAGGAGUAGAUACCCGGGUAGUC
rnacentral:rRNA from 1 species